rnacentral:rRNA from 1 species
AGUGAACGCUGGCGGUAGGCCUAACACAUGCAAGUCGAACGGCAGCACAGUAAGAGCUUGCUCUUACGGGUGGCGAGUGGCGGACGGGUGAGGAAUACAUCGGAAUCUACUUUUUCGUGGGGGAUAACGUAGGGAAACUUACGCUAAUACCGCAUACGACCUACGGGUGAAAGCAGGGGAUCUUCGGACCUUGCGCGAUUGAAUGAGCCGAUGUCGGAUUAGCUAGUUGGCGGGGUAAAGGCCCACCAAGGCGACGAUCCGUAGCUGGUCUGAGAGGAUGAUCAGCCACACUGGAACUGAGACACGGUCCAGACCUCUACGGGAGGCAGCAGGGGGGAAUAUUGGAACAUGGGGGCAAGCCUGAUCCAGGCAAACCGCGGGGGGGAAGAAGGCCCUCGGGUUGGAAAGGCCUUUUGUUGGGGAAAGAAAAGCAGCAGGUUAAUACCCCGCUGUUCUGACGGUACCCAAAGAAUAAGCACCGGCUAACUUCGUG